GAUGAACGCUGGCGGCGUGCCUAAUACAUGCAAGUCGAGCGAACAGACGAGGAGCUUGCUCCUCUGACGUUAGCGGCGGACGGGUGAGUAACACGUGGAUAACCUACCUAUAAGACUGGGAUAACUUCGGGAAACCGGAGCUAAUACCGGAUAAUAUAUUGAACCGCAUGGUUCAAUAGUGAAAGACGGUUUUGCUGUCACUUAUAGAUGGAUCCGCGCCGCAUUAGCUAGUUGGUAAGGUAACGGCUUACCAAGGCAACGAUGCGUAGCCGACCUGAGAGGGUGAUCGGCCACACUGGAACUGAGACACGGUCCAGACUCCUACGGGAGGCAGCAGGAGGGAAUCUUCCGCAAUGGGCGAAAGCCUGACGGAGCAACGCCGCGGGAGUGAUGAAGGUCUUCGGAUCGUAAAACUCUGUUAUUAGGGAAGAACAAAUGUGUAAGUAACUAUGCACGUCUUGACGGUACCUAAUCAGAAAGCCACGGCUAACUACGU
rnacentral:rRNA from 1 species